UUUAAAUUAUUUUCACUCUUCUCUUUAUUGCCCCCUCCUCCUCCUGGAGAUCACAGCUAAUGUCACCUUUACCAUCUCCUCCACUGGGUAGAGCCUGGACAUCUGGCACCUGGGCACUGGUCCUGCCUGGGCACUGCCACUUCCAUUCUCACGACAGGAGCAAAGUGCCUGCCCUGUGGAGUGCCUUGACACUUUACCCCAAUAGCACGCUUAACACAAAGGAUCUCAGAGUGUCUUGGGGAAGAUGUGAUCUGUGCCAAGCUCAGUCCUUUUCCUGGACCCUCUGCAGAGAAGCCAGGGCAUUCUCCAGCCUGUGCUAGAAAUGCGACAAGCUCAGGAAUUAAGGUGCAGGAGUUCCCGCCAUGGCUCAGUGGUUAACAAACUCAACUAGUAUCCAUGAGGACAUGGGUUCAAUCCCUGGCCUUGCUCAGCGGGUUGGGGAUCGGGCACUGCUGUGAGCUGUGCUGUAGGUUGCAGGUGCAGCUUGGAUCCAGCAUUGCGAUGACUGUGGUAUAGGCCGGCAGCUACAGGUCCAAUUAGACCCCUAGCCUGGGAGCCCUCCAUACGCUCUAGGUGCAGCCCUAAAAAGACAAAAAGACAAAAAAAUAAAAGAAAUUAAGGUGCACAUUUCAUAGGCAGGCACUUCAUCAAGCACGGUCCUGUUCCCUUUGCUAAUGGUUUCAUGCCUGUGCUUCCUGCCUUCCCAGCCAUCCUGAGACCAUCUUGAGGGUAUGGACUGCAGCUUCUAGUUCUCUGUUAAGCCCAGGGUUCUGAGCAUCACAGUGAGGGCUGGAUUCAUAUCAGCUGGUUGUCUCAGCAUCAUCUCCACCAACCUGAGGCACAGGUGCUUCUCCAGGGCAUUUUCCAAGGGGGAAAGUCCAGGAUAAAGUCCCUGACCCCAAGUCUUUAUCUUACACCUGAAAAUACCCUUUCCCCCAACAAGGACACACUCACAGGCCUCCAGCAUUAGGGCCUGACAUCUUUGGGGGAUGCUUCGCCUACUGCACCACCGCCCACCACCUCUUCUGACCUCAAACGAGUGUCCAAGGGUCCCAGAUCAGCCUCUCUGAGUCGUGCUUAUCCCUCUGAGGUACAGGAAUGACUUUUAUGGAUCCGUUGGCUUCUUCACAGAGUGGUGGUGAGGACUGAGAGGUAAUAUAUAUAUUGAAAGCAUUUUCUAAGCUGUAAAGCCCCACACAAAUGCAAGACAACAUUAUUGCACUGGGAGCGUGGCAAGUUCAACACUUGAGAAAACUAUCAGAUUUUAAAACAUGUGAGGGAAUAGGAAACCAAUGUUAUUCCAAAACCUCAUUUACACCCCACACCAAAGCCUCCCACUCUCCCUGCCUCCGCUCUCCCCUGUGGCUAUAGGGGUGUGACAGAGGCCUGUCUUGGGGGUGGCUUUGUGGCCUGAAAACAAAUCAUUCUUCACAGCUGGCUCCCCGAGUCCAAUAAGCCAGAAGGAAUUGGUAGAGAGAUUUAACGAUAUGUAUUUCAAGAAAAAGAUGAAAAUGUGUCUACUUUUAGGAGAUGCAGUAAAAAUGCAUCAGCCCCACAAUAAACUUGGCAGUGAAGAUGCAUAGAAGGCACACAUAUAAUGCAGUCAGGGCAGUAAUGUCUCAUUUCUAGGGAAAUCCUCUAAGAGAUCAAUUAGAAUUUGCCCCCGCCCAUGCCCUAUACACAGCCUCUGAACACGGUCCCACCCCUCCAGCUACCUCCAGCCUCUGCAGGGGGCCUGUUGGCUCAAAGCAGCUUGUUCCCCGGUCUCCCUUGGAAGUCUCUAGAAGAGAUGUGGGCUGAAACGGUUUGCAAACCAAUUACAUGAGAAGUGGGAAACUGUGGCCCCCAGAUCAAACCUGGCUCAUAAAUUACAGCUUUAUUGGAUCACAGACAUGCUGAUUCCUUCUAUGAUGGCUUUGUUGCUCUAAUAGAAGAGUUUAAUAAUUCUGAUUGAAAUCAUAUGGCCUGAAAGUCUAAUAUAUAUAUUAUUGGGCCUUUACAGAAAAAGUUUGUUGACAUCUGAAUAACGCCAUUACGUGAUAGGCUGUCUUUAGGCAAAACUGCCUGUAAAACCAAGAACAGGAUGACAGCUAAUUUUUUUGAGCCCUGUUCUGUGCCACGCAUGGCAUUGUGCCCAUAGGAACAGAAUGUCCCCUUAUUUAUUCUUGCAAGCAGUCCCAUGAGGUAGUAAUGCUAGCAGUAUGGCUAGAGGAGAAAACAGGCUCAGGGAAGCUAAGCAACUUUCUCAAGGUCUCAACCUGGAAACCGGUAGAACUGGCAUUCACACUCAUGUGUGGCUGAUUCCACCACCCUUGCUCUGGCCGCCACUCUCAAGCAUCUGGUUUCCAGAUGGGCAAUUCAGAGACCCUCUUCCAGUCUCCAGCACCUUGCACUUGUUGAGGAUCUGAUUUUCUGUAUCUAAUGUACCUGCAUCGAAUCUCCCAUCAUUCACCUGCCUGCCGUGGCCGCUCUGCUAAGGAGUGAAGAAAGGGAGCCUUCCAAGCCGUCUUCCUCUCCCUUUCCCACCCUGUGCUCCCCAUCCCUGUGCUCAGUGGAUUUUGUCCCACAUUUCUGCAGGACCCGUGUUGCCGCAGUCUCCCCCGACUGUCCCACUCCUGGGCGAGAUUCUGACUGUUCUGGAGCCUCCAGUCUGCACAGAGGGGGGCGCCAACAGAGCCCUGGGAACAGAGGCAUUUGCAUUCCACUUCCCGGGGCUGUUCUGAUCUUACCUGCAAUUCUUCUGACAAAUUCUUAUCAGCGAUGCCCAUGGCGAAGUCUGUGGUGACUUUGUUCAUUCUUAUUAGCUCUGCAGAUUAGCUCUUCACAGCGCUUGGCUGGUUCAUACCGAUUCCUGAUAAAUGUUUUGACUGAUUUUCCUGACUUGGGAGCAGUUGGGGACUGGGGCUGGGGUGGAGGCAGAAGACCGUGAGGAGAGGGGUGCUGGCGAGGGGAAGGAGAGAAAAUUGUGGCCAGGAUUACAUCUGGGCUAUAAAAUAUUCAUCACAUGCCUGCAAGAGCAGGGUCAGCACCGCUUCCCCAAGAACUGCUCCCUCCACCAGGCAGCACUUUGAAAUGCACCAGCCCGGGCAGGCUGGGAGCAGCCGGGAGAGGCUUCUGAGAGAAGGGGCCAGUGGAAGUUAAAAGGAAGGAAGAACAAACCAGCUCACUUGGGCUUUCCUGUCCUUCUCGGUCCCUCCCUUCUCACCUGCUCUUCAAGAACAGCUUUUGAUGGCAGAAUACUGAUGUUCCGGGUGGGCUUAGCUGCUCCUGUGCUGGGUUCCUCUUCUCCCUUUUGCUGCCCCAAGAAACCUUCCUGAGAAUUUCAGCCCACCCUUCCUCUCCUUUCCAAGAGGUCCUCCAGCUUCCCUCUUUGAGGACUUCAGACAGUGCUAAUAACAGCGUUCCUCACCGUCUCCUGUAUUUCCCCACCUAGACUGGACUUAGAGUCAUGCCCCUCCCAAGACUAGACACGAGGUACCCAUUUGUAACGUCAUGGCUGAAUUAAAAGAGCUCCUUCCCUUUGGCAGAGUUGGCCAGCAGGUACCACCACACCACCAGUGCUGAAGCAAGGCAGGCAUUGCCGAUCGACUUCCACACGCUUUCUUCUCAAACCAAGAUGAAGUUUUCCCCUUGUUCUUAACAAGAGGUUCCAAGCAGCCACUCCUAAUCCAAUGGAAUCAAGAAGGAAAUAAAAACCUCUUUGCUAUCCUGGUUCUUUGGUACCCCCUGUAACUUCCUUGCAAUCAGGCACUACCUUUAGAGUCUAGGAACCUGGUACUGUGGCCCCAUAUAAAAUAGGAGUUCCUGUCGUGGUGCAGUGGUUCACGAAUCUGACUAGGAGCCAUGAGGUUGCGGGUUCGGUCCCUGCCCUUGCUCAGUGGGUUAACGAUCCGGCGUUGCCAUGAGCUGCGGUGUAGGUUGCAGACGCGGCUCGGAUCCCGCGUUGCUGUGGCUCUGGCGUAGGCCAGUGGCUACAGCUCCGAUUCAACCCCUAGCCUGGGAACCUCCUUAUGCCCAGGGAAGCGGCCCAAAGAAAUAGCAAAAAGACAAAAUAAAUAAAUAAAAAUAAAUAAAUAAAUAAAUAAAUAAAUAAACCCUGCACCCACAAAAGAAAGCUAUCCAUCACUUUCCGCAGGUAUCCGGUCAAGGCUUACCCUCUAAAAAAUUCUUUCAUGUGUCUAACCCAAGACCCUGCUGCAGUAGAAUUAUAUUCCUGGGCUUUUCUCCCAUGGGAGAAAAAAGUCAGAUGCUUUGAGAAGUGAUGUUCUCACUCACUGCUCUUUCCCACUGCCCGGAAGUUUAAACUCUGGUGCCCAAGCACCUCACUCUGGAAAAACUCGACUCAUGCCAGCCCCAUGCCUGCUCGUGCCAGCUCCCUGGAAAAUGACCCACACCCCCGAAACUAGAAAGAGGCCUGGAGACUCUUGAAGGUCCUCUCUUGCCGCAGCCAAGUUUACUCAUUAGCCUUUCACCAGAUUUAUCUUCUCCCUGGUAGCCUGCAGCGCUUUGAUUUGUCCUGCUGUCACCAGGACUAAUGUUGAUGGCGGCACCCCCCCGGGGGCGUCAGGCUCUCCAGCCUCCUGCCAGAGCCCUCGAGGAAAAUGGAUGAGCAACUGACCUGCAAAAUAAAUACCAGACUUCCAGGUUCUGAUAAAGAUUAAAUAUUGGAGGAGUCAUUUCAAAUGAAUAUAUAAAAGCACAUGGAAGAAGCCUUUUAGACUCCGGCAGAGUGACAUACAGGCAAACAAAGAGAGAUGUCUUUGGGGAAGUUCAGUGGCAGGGAAGUUGGAGGCUCCGAAUGCAAUCUGCCCACAAAUACCCCAGCUGCAGGAAGGAUUCCAAAACAGUCAUCCCUCCCUUUCCCUCCACCCUCCCCACCCAGAUCGUGAAGAAGAGAAAGUGCUAAGCUCCAAAAGCCGUGUGCCAGCAUGAUGCUGAAGUCAGCUCUGGCCCAUCCAACCAAGGGAGAAGCCCCAUUACUCAACACCAUCUGCCUUGGGCGUGGAGCAGCCAAGAGCUAGGAUUACGGGCGGGGAUGGGGCUCUGAAGCCCCAAAGGAGAGAGUUACUGGGGAAGAGCAAGGUCAGGCAUCUCUGAGACAGAACGGGGAGGCGGGAGAGAAGCCAGAUGUCAGCAGAUGGAGCCAGUGUUCCUUGAGCCUGGGGCAGAAUGUGGUUUCUGGUCCGAAACAUGUGCAGAUUGAUUGCACAUCCAGAAACGCCCAAUAACCAGAAUCCCAGGAUCCUGUCUCUAGAAUCAAAUGUUGGAGUUCUCUGGAUCAAAGUUCAAGUGCAGUUAGCAUGGAGAUGGAAGGGGAGAGAGGCAGCCUUGAUUUACCUGGUGCCUGCAGUGCUGGGCCACUUACUCCUCCUGACCAUCCUGGGAGAUGGGCACUGGCAUCCAUUCCUUACAGAAAGGAGGCUGAGGCUGCGGCGAACGGAUGGCCACGAGGCUGGCGUUCGUCCCGCUGCCACAUGCUCAGUUCUCCAUCUCAGUCUGGAAGGCAGAGUCUUGGUGGUGGUCCAGGGACAGCUGUCCAAAUUCCUGAGAACCGGGCUCAGUAUCCAGGUCCCUCC
rnacentral:lncRNA from 1 species